UAUCCCCCAAACUAAGGGGGGAUGAGAACCACCGACCGGGGUUCGACAACUGGCGCAGCCAGUUGGACAGACGACGAGCUUGCGAGGAGACUGCCCGAAGGGCGAGCGCAGCGAGUCAAUCCCCCCCUCACCACCA
rnacentral:sRNA from 1 species